CAUAGCGACUAUCGUGGCAUAUCAAUAAGCGGAGGAAAAGAAACUAACAAGGAUUCCCCUAGUAACGGCGAGUGAAGCGGGAAGAGCUCAAAUUUGAAAUCUUCAAGGUUUGACCUUGACGAAUUAUAGUUUAAAGAAGUGUUUUCGGUUAGAGGAGUAGUAAAAGUUCUUUGGAAUAGGACAUCAUAGAGGGUGAGAAUCCCGUAUUUGACUAUUCUUUCUAGCUUUGUGAUACACUUUCAAAGAGUCGGAUUGUUUGGGAAUGCAGUCCAAAAUGGGUGGUAAAUUUCAUCUAAAGCUAAAUAUUGGCGAGAGACCGAUAGCGAACAAGUACCGUGAGGGAAAGAUGAAAAGAACUUUGAAAAGAGAGUUGAACAGUACGUGAAAUUGUCAAAAGGGAAGCGUUUGACACCAGUGUUGUUUUUCCGAAAAUCAAUUAAAAAUUGAUUCAUGCUAGGUUGUAUUGACCUCAUCAGCUUGCAAUUUAGUUUUGGGUCUCUUUUUGAUGCACUUUUCGGUUAACAAGUCAACAUCAAUUUCCUUUGCCGUAAAAAGGUAAGAGGAAGGUGGCUUCAAUUUCGGUUGAAGUGUUUAUAGCCUUUUAUCUCUGCAGUCGGGGAGAUUGAGGUCUGCAGCGUAGAUCCUUCGGGGCUAGAUACAUUUAUGCUAAGUUAUAGCUUUUCAUAGACAACUUGUUGACUAUGUUUAGUCUUGUAGCUUACUCGCUGACGCUAUUUUACCUACGCUUAGGAUGUUGAAGAUAUGCGCGACACG
rnacentral:rRNA from 1 species